AGAGUUUGAUCCUGGCUCAGAACGAACGCUGGCGGUGCGCCUAACACAUGCAAGUCGAACGAGAAUCCGGGGCAACUCGGUAGUAAAGUGGCAAACGGGUGAGGAAUGCAUGGGCAACCUACCCUUGAGAAGGGAAUAACCCGCCGAAAGGUGAGCUAAUACCCUAUACGCUUCUCUUUUUAUGAAGAGGGAAGGAAAGCUAAGCCGUGGGUUUGGCGCUCAAGGAGGGGCUCAUGUCCUAUCAGCUUGUUGGUAGGGUAACGGCCUACCAAGGCUACGACGGGUAGCUGGUCUGAGAGGAUGAUCAGCCACACUGGCACUGAGAUACGGGCCAGACUCCUACGGGAGGCAGCAGUGAGGAAUAUUGCGCAAUGGGCGAAAGCCUGACGCAGCGACGCCGCGUGGGGGAUGAAGGUUUUCGGAUUGUAAACCCCUUUUGUGAGGAAAGAUAAAGUGGGUAACCACUUAGACGGUACCUCAAGAAAAAGCCACGGCUAACUUCGUGCCAGCAGCCGCGGUAAUACGAAGGUGGCGAGCGUUGUUCGGAUUUACUGGGCGUAAA
rnacentral:rRNA from 1 species